CUUACAGCCACUGACAGGGAUCGACGUGGCGCGAGGAGAGCGACAUAAUGGGUCAAAGUAGGGGCUGAAUGUAAUUUAACAGUUGACGGUGUUAUGGGUCGGAACGUCGUAUGUAAUUUAACCGGAAUCCGUGUUAAUCGGCGCUGUAAACGGCAGCAACAAGCAAAAGGCACGAUGCAAAAGACAUGGAAAAGAGUUCGCGAUGCGACUCCAAGCAUUACUGGAAGUUCAUGCAGUUCAGACGAGUUCGCUGUGGAUGUAACUAAUGAGGACCACAUCCUAUCGAGUUAAGAUGGAGUACGUCAUUAACCAAUGAAGCAGAAUAUAUUAGCAUCAUCUGAAGUGGAC